rnacentral:misc_RNA from 1 species
GAUGAAGAACGCAGCGAAAUGCGAUAAGUAGUGUGAAUUGCAGAAUUCAGUGAAUCAUCGAAUCUUUGAACGCACAUUGCGCCCCCUGGUAUUCCGGGGGGCAUGCCUGUCCGAGCGUCAUUACAACCCUCAAGCUCAGCUUGGUGUUGGGCCCCGCCGCCCCGGCGGGCCCUAAAGUCAGUGGCGGUGCCGUCCGGCUCCGAGCGUAGUAAUUCUUCUCGCUCUGGAGGUCCGGUCGUGUGCUCGCCAGCAACCCCCAAUUUUUUUCAGGUUGACCUCGGAUCAGGUAGGGUUACCCGCUGAACUUAAGCAUAUCAAUAAGCGGAGGA